GAUGAACGCUAGCGGGAGGCUUAACACAUGCAAGUCGAGGGGCAUCACGGGGUAGCAAUACUCUGGUGGCGACCGGCGCACGGGUGAGUAACACGUAUGCAACCUGCCUCGUACAGGGGGAUAACCCGGAGAAAUUCGGACUAAUAUCCCAUAAUGAUAUUGAAAGGCAUCUUUUGAUAUUUAAAGCUCAGGCGGUACGGGAUGGGCAUGCGGAACAUUAGCUAGUUGGCAGGGUAACGGCCUACCAAGGCUGCGAUGUUUAGGGGACCUGGGAGGGUUAUCCCCCACACUGGUACUGAGAGACGGAGCAGACUCCUACGGGAGGCAGCAGUGGGGAAUAUUGGUCAAUGGGCGCAAGCCUGAACCAGCCAUCCCGCGUGAAGGAAGAAGGCCUUCGGGUCGUAAACUCCUUAUCUGCGAGAAGAAAAGCACGGAAAGGAAAUGUUCUGUGCCUGACGGUACCGCAGGAAUAAGCAACGGCUAACUCCGUGCCAGCAGCCGCCGUAAGAC
rnacentral:rRNA from 1 species